rnacentral:misc_RNA from 1 species
GAUGAAGAACGUAGCGAAAUGCGAUAAGUAAUGUGAAUUGCAGAAUUCAGUGAAUCUUCGAAUCUUUGAACGCACAUUGCGCCCGCCAGUAUUCUGGCGGGCAUGCCUGUUCGAGCGUCAUUUCAACCAUCAAGCCCCCGGGCUUGUGUUGGGGACCUGCGGCUGCCGCAGGCCCUGAAAAGCAGUGGCGGGCUCGCUGUCACACCGAGCGUAGUAGAUUUUAUCUCGCUCUGGGCGUGCUGCGGGUUCCGGCCGUUAAACCACCCUUUUAACCCAAGGUUGACCUCGGAUCAGGUAGGAAGACCCGCUGAACUUAAGCAUAUCAAUAAGCGGAGGA